rnacentral:lncRNA from 1 species
CUCCUUUGCUGCCUUUGGAGAAGAAAGCUGCCAUUGUUGUGAGCUGCCUAUGGAGGAUGUGGUGUGGCAAGGAGCUGAGGGCAGCCUCUGACCAACAGCCAACAAGAAAGUGAAGUGCUCAGUCCAACAACUGCAAGGAACUGAAUGCUGCCAGCAAACUGUAUGAGAUCAGAAGUGGAUCCUCCCACAGUCGAGCCCCAGAUGAGACUGCAACCCCAACCACCACUUUGAUUAAAGCCUUGACACUAGGAAGAGGACCCAACUAAGUUGUUCCUGGACUUCUGGCACAUAGAAACUAAUCAGAGAAUGAAGAUGUAAAGACAGGAACUGUUGGAGCCAUUUUGCUACUAGGAUGAAAAGAGCUUACAAAUGAAGCCGACAUGAAGAGAAGGGUGCAGAUGAGUGGAUUCCACUUAGAAGUAAGCUGACUCUGAGGCUUGCCUUAUCUCUGAACUUCAAGUUCUAAAAGCUAAUAAGUCCCUUUAUUGGCUAAGCUGAUUUGAAUCAGCUCUUCUGUUUCUUGCACCAAACAAUUCAUAACCGAUACAGAAUUUGGUUCCAGGAGUGGGGUGCAGUAAAACACAAACUCUAAGAUGUAGACCUGUCUGAGCAGGGAUGAUGAUGUGAAGAGCACUGGCUGUUGGGACUCAGGCCUGUGCCUACAAAGCACAACAGGGAAAUGGCAGGAAAAAUCCAGAAUUUUGGAUUACGGUAAGAUCCUACAAGAAAGAGACGAUCUUAAGAUGAAGUGACCCAUCUGAAGGCAGAGAAGGAAGAAAAUAUGGUCUUGCUUAAAGUGUCCCUCUCCAGGUAUGGACUGCAAUCAAAACGACUGAACUCUAACAGUAUUGCGAACACCUUUACUCCAAGUUAAGGUUCACACAAGUAAAGACAGGAGGUAAGACUGGGGCAAAAGAUAAGCCUAACCCCUUAGGCCAUUCCCGAAUACUUCCUACUAAACAGUCCCGAAUUGACAAAGCAAACAAGUACAGCUGUGGGCAGGGAACAAAUUAUUCCACUGGAAGUUAUUGUCAGAAACUGUGCAGAAGCAGAAGCCAAGAUAAAAGUAGCAGCCACUACGCUAAGGCCUUAGGGGAUGAUAAUACAACAGAGGCCUGUUGUUAGAUAACAGAAAUUCCUAGACUCGAAUCCAGUGACCACAGACAGGCUCUCUGUCUAUGGUUCCUAGCCUGUGGAUGUGACUGGUCAAAUACCUUGAUGAUAACUGACAACUAAGUUUAUAAAGGAGCAAUAUUGCCAAAGAAAUCCCAGUCCUGGACAACCAGUCGAGGAUUGCUCAGCUACUAUGGCAGGCUCAGAUUCUUUGAAGUCACACACACAGAAAAGGGGAUGCUAAAAUUAUGCAGCCUCUGGAAGGAGAAACUUCUCCAGAUAUGUCAACGAACAAAGAAAAGGCCCUGAGAGAAGAAAACCAGAGGCUGCCAGAUUGACUGACUAAGCCACUCCUCUGCUGUCAGACCAUCGUCAGACCAUGCUGCUAAGGAGAAGAAAAAAAA